UUUUGCUAUAAAUUCCAACCUGAAGUUUUAUUAGUUUACACUCGCAUGACUCAGACAGAAAGGGCUGUCCCUAUUCUAGCUUCACAUUACACCAGUAACCAUUUGAAUGAGACCAGUAAUGUUGUUUGGCUACAGCAAGUCUUUCAAAGGGUAUCCAGUAUUCCCGAGAAGACAAAUCAUGGCGAAUCUUCCUCUGUGUUUGACAGUUUGUUCCAAUGGUUUCAAUAGUCACUGCUAAAACUAGAUGUUUUUCUUAUACCUGAAUGUCUCAUCUCAUCUUUUAUUCAGCUCGUUAUGUUUUACUUCACAUCUUCAAUAUUCUACUACUUACUGUUUUCCCCCUCAAAAUUAUGUAUAGUAAACCGUUCACUCCUUAUUUUGUGAAUUAUCCUUGGUUUGUGGGGUUUUUUUUUGAUCCAAGAUUAAUUUCCAUAGCAUUUUUCUGAAACCUCCUUACAACUUCACCAACUUCUAGAAAUGUGGAUACCAGAACCAUUGGAACAUGCCGUUCCCAGAUGUUUCUUUUGUACCAUGUUUGGAAUCUAGAGAAAUAAUACACUACAAAGCAACAGAGGCAGGUGUACACCUGCCAGCAUUUGAGUACCAACCUUUGUGCUGAACUCACAAGCAGCACAGAGCAGUAGGAUAACACACAUGUCAUCACAUCUGUUCCAGUUGAUUACACACCGUUCACAGUUUGCCUGAAUGCCCACCACGACUGCAGUUACAGCUUUUAUAUCAAAUGUUGCCCAAACUUCAGCACAGCCAAGCGCAGAAAGCAGUGGGAACAGGAAUUUUACUGGUGUGACCAAGGAAAAAUGUGUUAAUCCUUCAGGAAUACCUGAAGGACAUGCAGAGGUCUGCUACUUGACCCCAUAAACUAAAUGACAUUUGAUAUGCCAAUAGAAGCAUUUUUUAAAAACACAGCCCUUCGAGAACACAGAGACUUAAACAUGUCAAAUGUCUUUUGUAACUGCUACAUGAUCCUAUGAGGUCUUCCGUAGCAUCUGAAUCAUCAUAAUUUUCAGUUAUUAAAUGAUUCUUACUCAUACAAAUGCAGUUCUUUCUUUGGUGAUAAUGUUUAUUCGCUGUGAGUAACUUUGCAGUUUUAGUGUGACAUCAUAUAUUCCACUCCUCAGAGACAACAGACUGUGCCUUUCUUCUUUUCAGUUUUAAUGUGGACAGGAGAUGUCUAAGGUCGGGUCUUCUCAAGAGAGUUUGGCCUUUAAUGUUUCUUGUUUCAGACUCUGAUCCCAAUUACAGCUGCAGUUCCACCCAACUGCAGUAUUUUUUUGGUAAAAAGAAGAAGUUUUGGGCUAAUUUAAUUUCUGGAUUGAAUCGGGGGACGUGUAUCGGGAUGAACUGGGCUCAGUGAAAAACUGAUGGCAAAGAAGCUGAGCUACGUGAUUUACUCUGCUGAAUGCAAGAGCUGGAUCUGACUGUUUCAAUCCUUCUUCAAGAACGUGACAGUCAUCUUUUUUCUAGAAAUGUGACAGUAAGAGAACAAACAAGAGGACCUGCCUGGCAGAAGAAACAAAGCUCCAUCAGAGAUGCCAC
rnacentral:lncRNA from 1 species